GACGAACGCUGGCGGCGUGCUUAACACAUGCAAGUCGAACGGAAAGGCCCUGCUUUUGUGGGGUGCUCGAGUGGCGAACGGGUGAGUAACACGUGAGUAACCUGCCCUUGACUUUGGGAUAACUUCAGGAAACUGGGGCUAAUACCGGAUAGGAGCUCCUGCUGCAUGGUGGGGGUUGGAAAGUUUCGGCGGUUGGGGCUGGACUCGCGGCUUAUCAGCUUGUUGGUGGGGUAGUGGCUUACCAAGGCUUUGACGGGUAGCCGGCCUGAGAGGGUUACCGGCCACAUUGGGACUGAGAUACGGCCCAGACUCCUACGGGAGGCAGCAGUGGGGAAUAUUGCACAAUGGGCGGAAGCCUGAUGCAGCAACGCCGCGUGCGGGAUGACGGCCUUCGGGUUGUAAACCGCUUUCGCCUGUGACGAAGCGUGAGUGACGGUAAUGGGUAAAGAAGCACCGGCUAACUACGUG
rnacentral:rRNA from 1 species